UCAGCACGCUGCCGAGACAGGCGUGUGACAGGACUCUGCGAAGUCUGGAGAAAAGUAAAUUAAUUUGUAGUGCGAAAAUUAUAAGCACUGUAAGUGGCACUAACUGAAGUUAGUAGUGUUGCCAGAGGGAGGAAACUACUAAGCUGUCGAGUAGCUGUGAGGGAGAAGUUAUCAGCAGGAGGGACUCCUUCGGACGUUUCUUCUUACCAAUUAACGUGGAUUAUUCUGAGGAAUUCUUUCAGUUGACAAUGGAGAGCCUUGUCGCCUGCUAUCGAGAUCAUCAUCACUGCUUAUGGAUGCCUGCCUCGUCUGGAUGCUGGUGUGUGGAUGUUGUCCUGCUCCAAGGGGAGCUUUGUUUUGUGUCUGAGGGCCCAAGGUCUGUUUAAGGACACCGACAUAACUUGAUUUGCUGAUCAGCCACGGUUCUCUUCGGAAACAACAGAUCAGGAAACACACUGGACAGUACAAACACACGGUACGUGAGUAUAAUACACCUCUCAAGUGACAUAUAAAAUAUUGACAUACAUCCUAUUUGAAAAAUACAUAAUAAAAACACUACAGUGCAACACUGGCCAACUCUACUCUGCUGCAUUUGAAUAUUUUAUUUCUAUAAUUAAUUGUUAAAACUUUUUGUGUGAAAUAAUUCAACACUAAAACAAAU